GUGGUAACAACGUUUAUUAUUGCAGGACUCUCGUCGUCUCCGUCGCAUCUGCUUUCUUUGCAUCCAUCCCAGAGCUCUCUAGUUAAAGACAUGGACGGCUUUCUUGGAAAAUUCCUCUUCGUGGUGGUUGCUGUCACACUCGCUACGCUGAUUAUGGCCCCAAAUGAAGCUGGGGCAAUUCCACCAGCUGUCCUGGACGCCAUUGACAACUUUGGACGAAAUGAAGAACAUCUCGAGUAGCGAAGCAUCAGUGUGGCUGAUUUGCGUUCCAAUAAUUACGCCUGCUUCGUAAUUCGUAACUGAAUAAAAUGAAUGAAGGGAAAAA